CCUACGGGUGGCAUCAGUGAGGAAUAUUGGUCAAUGGACGAGAGUCUGAACCAGCCAAGUCGCGUGAAGGAUGACUGCCCUAUGGGUUGUAAACUUCUUUUAUAUGGGAAUAAAAUGUUCCACGUGUGGGAUUUUGUAUGUACCAUAUGAAUAAGGAUCGGCUAACUCCGUGCCAGCAGCCGCGGUAAUACGGAGGCUCCGAGCGUUAUCCGGAUUUAUUGGGUUUAAAGGGAGCGUAGGUGGAUUGUUAAGUCAGUUGUGAAAGUUUGCGGCUCAACCGUAAAAGUGCAGUUGAAACUGGCAGUCUUGAGUACAGUAGAGGUGGGCGGAAUUCGUGGUGUAGCGGUGAAAUGCUUAGAUAUCACGAAGAACUCCGAUUGCGAAGGCAGUUCACUGGACUGCAACUGACACUGAGGCUCGAAAGUGUGGGUAUCAAACAGGAUUAGAUACCCCUGUAGUC
rnacentral:rRNA from 1 species